rnacentral:rRNA from 1 species
UACGUAGGGGGCAAGCGUUGUCCGGAAUCAUUGGGCGUAAAGCGCGUGUAGGCGGCUUCGUAAGUCCGUUGUGAAAGUCCAGGGCUCAACCCUGGAAUGCCGAUGGAUACUGCGGAGCUAGAGUCCGGAAGAGGCGAGUGGAAUUCCUGGUGUAGCGGUGAAAUGCGCAGAUAUCGGGAGGAACACCUGUGGCGAAAGCGGCUCACUGGACCACAACUGACGCUGAGGCGCGAAAGCUAGGGGAGCAAACAGG